AAGGAACGCACAUAAUUGACUCCGGCAGCCAGGAUGAGCCUGCUAGUCUGCUGGCAUGAGAAAUCCAGAGUGACAGAGCAGCAGCCAUACUGCAACGUUAAACGGGAAUAUUGCUGCGCCCCAUUGUAGAUGCAUUUCCUUUCUGAGAACCGUGAUCUCUGGACCCACAGAAUUUAAUCUGCAAGGACAAGUUUCCCAAGAAUGGAUCACUGACACCACGUGGGAGACAGCGGGAACUGAGUGCUAUGUUUGGGACCGUUCUCCAGCCUCCCAGAAAUGUAAAGUUGGAUUUUCUAAUAACUUCUAAUCAUGGAAAUCACAUACCCACUAUGUGCUAGACACUAUUGUAGGUACUGGAGAAUGAGAAUAAGCAGCCCUGCCCUCAAGGAGCCUUUUUUCUGGUGUUAGCACAGUGCAUAAGGUGGCGCCUUAAAGACCGACCCAUGACAUGGCGUGGUUGUCCUGAUGACUUGCCUAUUUUACGUCUGACCCAUGCUAGUUUGAAUUCGUAGCUGCUGGGUUGGAGGGGAGACCCUCAAGGCUCCUCUCCGUCCUUUGCUAUUCCGGAGCCCUCUCUACUCAGGACUUGUGAGCACCCGCUCUCAAGAAGAUGUGCAUGUUAUUUACAACCAACCAAAUCCUGAUAAAAAUAUCUGUCACUGCAGCUGUGAUUUCACAUCAAAACUUACUGAAAUUUAUAGUCUAGUUGUGUUACUAAAGAAAUAAACAGACACAGGCUUUGGGAAUUUGCUUUAUCAAUAUUGUUUGUGUGUGCUUUGUAAUCAAUAAUCUUAUUAUGCAAUAAGGCUGAAGCAACAAUAGAAAUCAAGUG
rnacentral:lncRNA from 1 species